rnacentral:rRNA from 1 species
UACGUAGGGCGCGAGCGUUGUCCGGAAUUACUGGGCGUAAAGCGCACGUAGGCGGGUUCUUAAGUCGGUGGUGAAAUCCUGGAGCUCAACUCCAGAACUGCCUUCGAUACUGGGAAUCUUGAGUCCGGGAGAGGUGAGUGGAACUGCGAGUGUAGAGGUGAAAUUCGUAGAUAUUCGCAAGAACACCAGUGGCGAAGGCGGCUCACUGGCCCGGUACUGACGCUGAGGUGCGAAAGCGUGGGGAGCAAACAGG